rnacentral:rRNA from 1 species
CACCGCGGUUAAACGGGUGGCCCAAGUUGAAAAUCACCGGCGUAAAGAGUGGUUAGGGAAACAAAAAACUAAAGCCGAACACCCUCCAGGCCGUGAUACGCUUCCGAGGGCAUGAAGCCCUACUACGAAAGUGGCUUUAAUACACCUGAGCCCACGACAACUAAGACA